AAUGAACGUUGGCGGCAUGGAUUAGGCAUGCAAGUCGCACGAGAACCCAAUUAGCUUGCUAAGAGGGGGACAGUGGCGAAAGGGAGAGUAACGCGUGGUUACUUGCCCUCGAGACCGGGAUAGCGUCGGGAAACUGGCAGUAAUACCGGAUAACAUCUACGGAUCAAAUGGUGUGAUUCCGCUCGAGGAUAGGACCGCGUACUAUUAGCUUGUUGGUGAGGUAAUGGCUCACCAAGGCUGCGAUGGUUACCGGGUGUGAGAGCAUGGCCCGGCUCACUGGGACUGAGACACUGCCCAGACAUCUACGGAUGGCUGCAGUCGAGAAUCUUCGGCAAUGGACGAAAGUCUGACCGAGCGAUGCCGCGUGCGGGAUGAAGGCCCUCGGGUUGUAAACCGCUGUCAGUUGUUAGGAAAUGCUAGGGGGUUCUCCCCUUAGUUUGACCGAUCUUCAGAGGAAGGACGGGCUAAGUUCGUGCCAGCAGCCGCCGUAAGAC
rnacentral:rRNA from 1 species